rnacentral:pre_miRNA from 1 species
CACGUAGGACGUGUUUUCAGUGCAUUAUCAGAAAAAAGCACUGAAAGUACCUCUAGUUGGACACAUUUUCAACUAACAUGGCACGAAAACACGUUCAACUGGAUUCGCUUUCAGUGCUUUUUUCUGACAGUGCACUGAAAACGCGUCCUACGU